rnacentral:misc_RNA from 1 species
UGUCAUUUCACUGUUGGCCUUUGGAAAUGACUUCAGGGUUCCAGAUGCCUUACCUUUACUUUAUAAAAAAUCACCCGCAACUGCUGUAGAUGAUGCCAGUGCAUCCCAACAUCAAAAGAAGAAACAGAAUGUUACCACCAGUAUUUUUGGUGGUAUCGUGAAAGGGUUGAAAGGGCUUAAAGGAGAGCAGGCUGCUGAUUCUGUGAAUGCUCGAGAUGCUCUUGUUUCUCAUCUGGAAAACAUAUUCUCGAGAUUUCCUUUCUCAGACCCUACAGAUGUAACAGAUGACCUUGGAAGCCUGGAACUGAAGUUAGAUGAUAUUGAAAUUGAUGAACCUGUUCAUG